rnacentral:rRNA from 1 species
GAUGAACGCUGACAGAAUGCUUAACACAUGCAAGUCGAUGGGGAAGUGGUGCUUGCACCAUGGUAACCAUGGCGGACGGGUGAGUAACGCGUAAGGAACUUGCCUGCGGGACUGGGAUAACAGCAGGAAACUGCUGAUAAUACCGGAUAAGGUCAUUAAGCUGCAUAGCUUAGUGAUGAAAGGAGACGCCUGCGGAGAGCCUUGCGUCCUAUUAGCUAGUUGGAGGGGUAACGGCCCACCAAGGCGAAGAUAGGUAGCCGGCCUGAGAGGGUGGACGGCCACAAGGGGAAUGAGAUACGGCACUUACUCCUACGGGAGGCAGCAGUGGGGAAUAUUGGACAAUGGGGGCAACCCUGAUCCAGCAAUUCUGUGUGCACGAAGACGGUUUUCGGAUGGUAAAGUGCUUUCAGCAGGGAAGAAGGAAGUGACGGUACCUGCAGAAGAAGCGACGGCUAAAUACGUG